AUUGAACGCUGGCGGCGUGCCUAAUACAUGCAAGUCGAACGAGUGGCGGACGGGUGAGUAACACGUGGGAACCUACCCAUCAGAGGGGGAGAACAACUGGAAACGGUGGCUCAUACCGCAUACUAUCGGAUGAACCCAGAUGGGAUUAGCUAGUAGGUGGGGUAAAGGAUAACCUAGGCGACGAUCUCUAGCGGGUCGGAGAGGAGUAUCAUCCACACUGGGACUGAGACACGGCCCAGACUCCUACGGGAGGCAGCAGUGGGGAAUAUUGCACAAUGGGCGCAAGCCUGAUGCAGCCAUGCCGCGUGUAUGAAGAAGGCCUUAGGGUUGUAAAGUACUUUCAGCGGGGAGGCGUUACCCGCAGAAGAAGCACCGGCUAACUCCGUGCCAGCAGCCGCGGUAAUAC
rnacentral:rRNA from 1 species